GCAGUUGAUCACUCUUUAUAAACUUCUACAAACACCCACACUGUCUUUUUUCCUGCUCACCUCUCAUAGCCAGAUCCAGAGGGUUCAGACUGGCUGCAUGGACCUGGAUCAUCACCUCACAGGGAGACUUGACAACAGAGGAACCUACAGGGACUGCGCUCCCUGCAGAGGCACCAGAUGUGAGCUGUUAUGGAGAGGCAGUGCAGGAGAGAGGGGCCUUUUGUCAGGCAUCAGAUAAGCCCUGUUCCCAAAGCCGGCUCAGAUCGGGUAUCAUCAGCGGGUCUACGAGGGGGCGAAAUCCAAGCCUGCUGCUCUGGAUCGAGUUUCUGUUUACACGAGCGUGGUGCAGGAUUCCUCCAACCAGAGCAGACCCAGGACGGCUGGAAACAUGGAGACGGGGAAGGAGAGAGGCGCUGAGACAGAUCUACUGUUUGGAGUACCUGUCUGUCUCUCUGCAGGAGCUUGGAAUAAACCAGAGGGACAGCUUUCGAGGUGAAAAGGAAAAAGGAAAAUGGAAAGGAGAUCUUUACACUUCUGAUUGAACGCAGUGAGAGACAGGACUAACCUGGUGUUGGUCACAAUCGGACCUUUGAUAGAAUCUGACUCAAUAAAAAGCUGCGUGAUGAAAUCAACUGAACUUGAUCAUCUCCAUCCCGUCUCCACUGUGGGCAGAGAAACCUGAUACUGUAACCAAUCCACAGCCUGGCCUUUACCAUCAGGAAUAACCCUGAGACAAAUGUUUAUGUUUAAACCUCUCUCUGUCUCUGUUUUACACACACACACACACAGACACACACACACACUGAUCAAACAGAUGCCAUCUGAGAAAGCCCCAAACAUUCUGCCAUGGUAUCGUUUGACACACAUGGCUCUUUUCAUCUCUUUAUUUUAAGACAAGAGUACACAGACAGUGUUUGUACUGUGUCCCCUCAGAUAAAACACAGUCUUUGCAUUCCUUAUGAAAUGUAUCUGUUCAGAUUUGGGAGGGGUGGGCGCCAGGUUUUGGGUUACACCAAAUCAGAGGGCCCUCCCUUUCCUUAAACAAGCUGCA